GGCUCCAGGGAGACCUUAUUGCUGCCUUCCAGUACUUAAAAGAAGCUUACAAGCAGGAGGGAGACCGACUUUAUACACAGCCUGAUAAUGACUGGACAAAGAAGAAUGGCUUUAAACUAAGAGAGGGAAAAAUUAAUUGAUGUUAGAGGGAAACUUCUUACUGAGGGCAUGGUAAGGCCAUUGCGCAAGCUGCCCAGAAAAGUUGUGGGUGCCUCAUCCCUAAAGCUGUUCACAGCCAGGCUGGGUGAGGUGCUGGACUGCCAAUCUGAUCUAGUACCUGAUUUAGUGAUUGGCAACCCUGCCCAUGGCGGGAGGUUGGAACUAGAUAAUCUUUAAGGUCCCUUCCAACUUGAGUAUAAGUAUAAGCACCACAGCAGACUCUUUUCUAGUCUUGUUUGUUCCUGAAUGUGCGGACAUGGAUGUAGAAGAUGUGCAGAAAAAGUGCAGGUGGGAGUUGUAAGCAGACAAGACUUUCUGGAGUAGCUCCAGUGCGAAAGAGCCAAGAUUAGCAAGAUGAGAAUCAAAAGGAAUUUCAUGGGGAGUUCCUUUUUUUUCUUUUUUUUUCCCCCCAUUUGGAUGCUGCUAAAGGAGAAAAAGUCGUGGUCCAAUUGAUGAACCUGAAAGAAAAACAUGCUUCUAUGCCCCAAUGGGUAGGGAAGGAGUGAACCUGUUAUUCCAAGUUCUGCCUGCUCAUUCAACCUGCUAGCUUUUUCUUGAGUAGUUCUGUUCAGCUCAGUGAAGAACAGGCACCCAGAUGUUAUUCUGCCCAGGCAAGAAAUCAGUUCUGAACUCAGUUGGAUGAUGCAGUAUUUACUGACUUGCUCUUUUUCCUAUGAGAAACUUUAGGGGCAGUCAGAUCUCUUGUGCUGCAGAACAAGCAAGGACUAAGAGAUCUGGAUGUAAAAGAAAACCAAGCUCAGCUGAAGGAAAUAAAGGGAGGUUUGCUCUUGAAUAUGUUCCUGAGUAAAAACAAAUGAAUGUUAGCUUUAGUAGGUAACAGCACAGUUCUGGGUCUUGUUGGUAACUUACAAGGUGUGGAUUGUGUACAAUCAGGGAACUUAGUUCUGUGUAGAGGUUUCUCUUCUCCUGUGUCAGUGUAGUGAGAUGUCAUUUGACAUUUAGCCCAGGCAUGUGUCCAGAGAAGGGCCACAAAAGUGAUUUGAGAGAUGGAACACCUUUCCUACAAGGACAGGCUGAGAGAGCUGUGGCUGUUCAGCAUGGAGAAGAGAAGGUUUUGGGGAGACCUGAGAGUGGCCUGUCAGCAUCUAGAGGGGGGGUUAAAUUAGAGAUUUCAUUUCCAGACGUGCUAUGAAAUGCAAGUUUUCUUUUCUCCUCUGCUAGCAGAAGCUGGAAACACUCUGCAGUGGCAGCAAGAAGCCAGUAGGAUAUUUCAACUGAGCUAAUGUCUGAGGGAGGAAGGGAAGUAUCUUCUUCUGCUGACUUAGAUACAUGUUUGUUUUAAAUCUUCUGGCCUCAGCAAAAGGCUGAAAAAGAACAGUGUGUUUCUGUAGUUUCCUAGGACUGUCUAGCCUCGGGGGCAAGAGGUCUCUCUUCAAAAAUCAUUUCCUCUUCAGUUUAUCUCCUAGGAGUUUCAUCCAGUUCUCACUGUAGUCAAUUACAGGUCUUCUGCUGACUUAGUCCAAGUUGACUUGGAUCAGCAAUUGUAAUUUUAACAAUGUGGAGGAGGUUAAUGGAAUGGACUAAUUCAUGCUUCAAAACGAGCCAUGUGUGCUCUGAUGUGGCAAAUAAAGUGAAUUGUUCUUCCAGCUGCUCUGAGUGUGAGUCGUAAUAUUGACUUUGAAGCUGUAAAUGUCACUGUUUCUUUUUCAUUAGAAGUAAUAGAUAAUCAAUCUUGAUGCUUGUUGUAGGCUACUGGAAAAGUAAUGAUUGCUCCUUUUUUUUUUUUUUUCCACAGAAGCAUUUAGAUCUUUACUGACUACCAUUACUUUUUUUUUUUAAUUUAAAGCAACUUAACUGCUUUAUUUUAGCAACUUCUCUAUAGGAAUAACCCCUGUCAGGAUGGGUUGGACAAUCCCAUAUGAGACAUUGCUCCACGGCUGAUAAGCUAGGAAGGAUAUAGGAGUCUUAUCAAGCUGACAAUGUUUUCACCCUUUAGCAAAGUCUAACCCUAACUUAUACCUGUCCAACAUUCAGGACAUAGUAUUUAAUGAGUUUUUUGUGAAGCCAUAAUUGCUUAGGGCAUUUUGUUUGUGGCUUUUUUUGAGAGCAAGACUAUUUAUAAGAACACUAACACAUAAUACCAUCUUAACAAAAAGUAAUAUAGAAUUCAGUUCCCACCUUAUUUGAAAUUUACUUCUGUAGUUAGUACUCAAAAUACCUGGCUAUAGGAAGACUGCUGCAGCAAGCACAGUCAUAUUGGGAGUGCAUUGCAUUUAGCAAUUAAAAAACAGUAGUUCAAUAAGGAAGGUGUGCUUUUAAGCUCAGUGCUGGAAGGCACUGAGGUACUUGGUUGCAAUGCUUGUACCAUAGGGCUGGGUGUUCUUUCCUCCCCAAGUGACCUAAGGCUCUUCUGACUUUUAGAGUACUGCUGGGAAAGAAAUGGCAAUAGCAGCAGUCUCAGCCUGUCUAAAAGAGAAACAUAAUUACAUGUGUAGUGAGAUCUUUAGGAGGCGAGGCAGAGCAUAUGAGAAUCCAUGAAAGUUGGGGAAAGUGCAUUAAAGUGACUAGUCUUGUUACCCAGCUUCUUCUAGCAUCUUUGCAAAUAGUGACUGUGAGUCAUUCUAAAGCCUUGUCAUUUUUCCUGUGGUUAAGAGUUCCCAGACUUUUUUGUAAGAUGUGUCCCAUUAGAAGCAUGGAUCUUCUCCAGCUUCUGUUACAGUGAUCUAGGCUAUUAUAAACAAAAGUCAAGAAACCUUUUUACAAAAUAUACAUAUAAAUUAGCACUGACAGAGACAAGGUAGAUGUCAAGGAUGAUUCAUGCAUAGAUCUAAAACAAGCACUUGCUUAUGCUAUCUGAAAUAGAUGUACUCCACUCUCUUCCUUUGGUUAGUUAGGAUGUCAAGGUUCAUUAUUCCCCAGAUUAUUUCCCUGUUCUUUAGGGAGCAGGCAUAAAAAAUUUUCACCCUGCUAAGAUUUAUUAUAAACCUUAUCCAAAAAGUAGCUUUUUCUUAACAAUGACUUAAAACAAAAAAAGUAAAUUAUGAAACGGGACCAUAUUAUGAUUUCUACUUGGAAGGUCUAAUGUGGUGUUCUUGGGAAUGGAACAGGAAUUGGCCAUACAAUCUACAUCCUGAGCUCCAAUCAGACAGGAAGUACAGUAUGUCUUCCAGAGCGUGCAAGACAAAAGGUGGAGUUGUGUUCCCACUGAAGCUGUGGAAAACCUCUCUACUGGCUUCAGAGAGAAUAAGGAGCCACCUUGAGUCUAGCACAACUUCUAGGCAGCACAUCUGGCCACAUGGCAAGAGAACUGUGGUAAGGAACUGUGCAGGCUCUGUUUGGAAUAUGCUUCAGGCAGUCACUUGCAUAUGAAGCAGCAGAGGAAAAGGGGAAGGGAAAAGGACACAGUUAACCUUUGAUUUCUUUUUCUUAGUUUUGUUAGAGAAGGAGUUGCUGUUCUUCCUUUUUGCCUCUGAACUUAAAUCUUGCUUUUUCCCAGGCGUGGUACCAAAAAUACUCUUUAACAGGGAAUUAAACUUCAGAAACAUGGGCAUAUCCAGCAUCAGAUCAAUUUAAUGACGUGCCACGACGACAACUUUCUUCCCUGUUGCAUCAUCACAGUGGCAAAUAAGUUUUCUUCCAGUAAGGCUCCAUGGGCAGCAGUCAUGCAGUUGAAGGAGUGAAUUAAAAGAAAAAGCUCUCAACUCCAAGGAAAGUCUUCCUUCUCAGGGUUAUCAGAGGACUCUCUUGCAUGUCACACGUGCAAGGCCUUAAACACAGGCAGGCCUUAAACAACUCUUAGCUUCUUUUCCAUGGAGUAUCAGUAGUAGAACUUGAUGUGCUGCUCAGAGGUUCUUCAGCAUGUGUCUUUGACAGCCAGUGUAUUUUAGCUGUUUGUAUUCUAUAUUAUUGCUACAUUUGGCAGAGGUGGCCUCAGCACUCACUAUUGCACUGCUGUCCUGCAUAGUGGAGUGGUCUACUCUGUAGUAAAUUCAGUCUGUGGGAGGAAUGUGUGAGGAAAUCCAAGUCCUCAUGACAUUUCAACUCCUGUAAUUGCAAUGUAGUAGUUCUUGGUGAAUUGUUUAUUUAGGUAGACCCAGAUAACUAAAAAUUUAGACACAUUAGUUGCAGACAAAGGCAGAGAGAAGCUGAGUAUGAAAUGUGAUACUUAAUAUUCCCACCCAAAGUCUGUGAUUGACAGGGAAAAGAGGUAGAAAGGUAUGUAAAUGCUUUUUUUUUUUUUUGUUAGCACUUAUCUCUCUACAUUUACUUAAAUGUCAUUUGGCACUGAUUACUCUGGACCCUUAGCUACCUCAGAUACACACUUCCAUGAGAUGGAUGUAGCCAAAGGAUCGUGGGAUGGGAGCUCAGAAUGGAAGAGACAGUAUGCUCCCAGAAAUCUCUUGGUAAGGUUAUUAACUCAACAGGGGCUUACAUUGUAUUUGAGAUCCAGACUAGAGCAGAUUCUCAUUACAUCAUGAGUGCCAUUCCAGCAUGCUGGUUGUACAUUAAGUGAAAACCCUUGUAGUUCAGCAGCUCAGAGUUACUUUUUAUGCUUGCAAAAUGCAAAAGAGCAUGAAAGGCAAACUUAUGUUUAAAACUCUAAAUUGUAUUCACGUAGAGAGUUAGGGUUGGUUGCAAGCUGCAUGCUCAGCCUGUUUGGUUACCUGUGGCAUCCUUGUGUCUUGCAGCUCAGUAGCAUGCUGGGGAAUGAAUCAGUAGGGAGAAGGGCUGUAACUGGUUGUGGUGCACAACUUUUCUUGGUAUGAAACAGAAUAGCUCUUUUUUUUUUUUUGGAGUCUAUUCUGACUCAUACCAGGAAGAGAGCUCCCUUUCUAGUUUCUCUUUACUGCCUCUUGGACUCCUGGUUUUUCAUAUAGUGGUGAGCUGCACUGUAUAGACUGCAAAUCGAGAGCUGUUUUUCUCUAACACCUCUCUGCAUUCUUGCAGAAGGCCAUUGACAAACCCCUUCUCCUUGAAGAGGUUAAGCAAAUGGCUGUAUUGGCUUCAUUGCAGGAUAGAGCUGGUAGGAAAUUGAAUGGUGUGUAGUGCCAAACCCAUGAUGUGUGUGCUCUUUCCAUUGGGAACACUGAGUCAUAAAAGGAAAUAAAAGCUGUUACAUUUCUGCAUUAUGAAAAAACGUGCUCUAGUCUAGCCUCUUUUAUGAAUUCAUACAAUCUCUGUUCAGUGAAUAUUUCCCCUACUGCAGGUUGUGAAACCUGGCUUUUCUUGGUAGAAAUUCAAUGUAUUUCAGCUGGAAAGAAUUGGGUGUCACCUUGGAUGGACCUUCUCUUUCCUCACCCCCCCUUUCCCCCCCAAUCAGGUCAAAAUGCAAGGCUUGUGACUUUCUAAGUAGAAUUCAUGUUCUUUAGUUUAGUUGAGAAGAGCUUGGCUGUGUCUCUGGCUGUUGUCAGCUGGUUGUGUUGCUGGCCAGUUUUUCAAGGUGUUUCUAGCAAGUAGAGAAGGAAGCACUUCUAAUAGCCAUGAUUCCCAAUUCUAAUUCUGAUUUCAGCACAAGUAAGAUACCAACAAAAUUAGUAUAAAAUACUUCAAAGCAAGGAGUCUUGGAGAAGAUUUGAGUGUUCUCACUCUCUGUGCCUAGCAUAAAUUGCAAGAGAUGAGUACCAGAUUUUGUUGCCGCAUCAGUUACAAAGUGAUUGUGCUCUGAUGCAGUUUUCUUCAGGUUUAGGCAAAAAAAAAAAAUACUAAUUACAACAACUACAAACUCGCAUACAGUACAGGUCUAUAUGCAGCUAUGGUAACUGAGAUUUCAGCAACUGCUUCCUUACAUUGCCUCAAAUGAGAACAAAUGCAGUAAAACUUGGAUAGUCUGAGCUCUCUGCUUCUGGUACAAGCAGCAUUGAAAAUGUGAAAGGGGAAUGGAUAAUCCAGUGGGAACAAGUGAGAAAAGUUUUGCUUUGUUUUGCCUGAUCCACUAAAUUGAUUCUAGCUAGCCUAAGUUGUUAGUGGGGGGGGAGGGAAGGGGGGGCGGCAGGGGAAUUGCUUUAAUUGGACUUGAUUUAUUUUAACUGGUGUUUUUUUCAUGGGCUCUAGGAACGCAUCCUUUCUUUUCAGUUCCAUAUUCUGAAUAAUAUACCAAAGUUAUCAGUGCAUGUGAAUUUCUGGAGGCAGGGUGGUUUCCUGGCCGCAGUGGGAACAGAGCUAAGAGCCAGCAAUUCUGAGUUGGUCUUUUUGUUAUUACCAGAGUGCGCUGUGGCCUUUAGCAUAGCAGUGCUGUUCCCUAAUUCUGCUACUCUCUGGGAACUGGAGGUAAUUCUAAUGCCUACAAUUUGCCAGAAUGUAGAGGAUUGCUUUGAGAUGUAUGCAGCUUCUUGCAAAACGUAAAGCAAUCCAUCUGUUGAAUAUUAUGGCUUUGUUAAAUUUAUUGAGCACGUUGGGACUGUUGGAUGAAAGACCUUAUAUAAACUGUACUUAAUUAUUGUUAUUACUACAAAAGGGCUGGUACAAAAGCAGUUUAUCUGGGAAUUCAUGAAGCAGAGGUCUAGAGUGUACUGCCAACAUCUGCUACCACUUAGAACUUCAGCUUGCUUACAGCAUGAGCCAUUCUAGCUUGGAGACGCACAGAGGAGUUGUUUGAGACCUGCUGAGUUGCAGCAGUCCCUCAGUCAGGCUGUGUGUAUGCCAGGCAGAUUCUCUAACCUCACCCUGUAGGUAAUACUCUGCCCUGGUACCUCUGUCCUGGGGAUCUCUUUAUUUGUAGCACAAGCCUGCUUCAAACACUGCUGUUUUCCUCCUCAGAGCUGAACAGAAACCUGUACUGAUGCUUUUUGUUGGUGACCUCAAGUGUCCUCACUAGAGCACAGUGCAAACUUUCCAAGGCAGGUAGCAAAGCUUUUCUAUUGGCUUCAAGCCCUAGCAGCUUCUUCCAACUGAUGGGUUUCAGCGUGUAGGAAAAAUCCAUUAGUGUGUGUUGUUUGGCUCUGCAUGCACCAUCUGCUUUGCUUCUGCUGCAGUGAGGACAUAAGAAGAAACUUAACCCUUGGCUUGAAGAGAAAUUGGUAACCUUGCAGCACCUGUACUGUGAGGUGUCAACCCAGUGCCUCCUGGAGGGAUGAAACCUGCUCCUGAAGCUGAUUGCCAAUUACUAUGUGGCAGUCUUGGGUCUGUUUCCUGGCUACUUAACUGGCACUAUGAUGAGUUUACUGACAAGUUUGCUUUCUUCUAGACCUUUCUGAGGGGUGGGAAUAGGGCAGGACUAAGAUUUUAUUUUAGUGGUGCUACUUGUGCACGUGUUGGGAAUAGAUAAGCCGUCAGCCAGCUUGUAAUUGUGAGCAUAGCUGUUAGUCCUGAGUAGCAGACUAUAUAAAUGACUGAUGGGAAGGUUCUGCAUGGUAGGCGAACUAAUAUUUUUUUCUUCCUAGAGCAUCUAAAAAGUAUAACUUAGCAAAUUCAGAGGUAUUUUCAGCUAAAAACAAAACUCCACAAUGAAGAAAAGAGCCGCUACUCUUUUUGAACUGUUGAGAUGAUACUGGAGUAUGGUAGCUUUCAGAUCUUUGACAAUUUUUUAUGUAUUUAUAUGAAUAGGACCAGGAUCUGUGGAAAGAUAGAGGUCAGAAUAUCCAAGCAGCCCUUCUGAGAUGUACAAGAAGACUGCGAAGGAGGGGUCUGCCAUGUCAUGUGGACUCCCUAAUCACAGGAGGAGGAAGGGUUCCACCUCUAUCCCUCUUUGGUUUCAGCCAGACUUGAAUUUCCUAGAACACUUACAGCAGAUGGAUCUGAAUAAUCUUUUCCAGCAGCAGGCAUAAUGGCAUUUUGACUCUAUUUUGUUACAUAAAUACUUCACACUUUAUAAUUAUUCAAACACUAAACUUGAUUUAGGAAGCCCUUUUGGGACUUGGGGAAAAUAGACGUGCUGAUGCUAAAACUUCUGUGCUCUUUCCCCGAUCUUUCUUCUGACCUUAGCAGCUCAACUACAAAUGGAGGCAACAAGCAGAUGCAAAAAAUAGAAGCAACGAAUGAUCUGUUUGAUCUUUCUUGUUCUUAUGACAGGUAUUGCUUGUUCUUUCCACACUGAAUGCAUGUAGAGGAAUGUUUCUGAAGCAUCUGCCCACUCAUGAAUCCAUACCAGAAAAGGCUUGUGGUUGCUCAGUACACUUGCAUCAGUACUAUUUUGGCUAAGAGCAGUGCCAGUAAGAGUUGUGCCAGUCACAAGAGUGCCCUGAGUUCAGGAUUUAUCUGCAAUUGCUCUUACACUUGCUUUGCCAGAAUGCUAGGAAGGGAGAUUACCUCAGCAGUUUGUUUCAUGGCUCAGGUACUUGUGUGAUCUCUUAUGUAGUAAAAGCUGUGCAGUCACACUUCUUCAUUCUGUACCAAGAGAGCCUUGCAGGGGUAAAGAAUAACAAGGAUUAACUGAUUCUCAGAUAACCUCAUGGAGUCAGAAGCUGUGAUUUCCAUGGAGAGAUCCAUGAGUUCUGGUUUUGACUGUGAGUCUGACCUCUUCUGUGUGCUGGACCAUAAGAGUGCAUAGGAGGGGAAAUGUUAAUUUGGGCAUGGAAUACCAAUCCUUUUGCCAGUGGCUUGGUAGAAUGGAACUUAAUAUUUGCGCAUCGAUGCAAGCUUUUGUUUUGCAAAAAUCUUGCUGCUUUCUAGGGAAAAAUUCGUAUUUGCUUCCAAAGGCAAGUGAAAGAAGAUUGCACUCAGGACUUGCAGUCAGUCCUCAACAUCAAAUACAGACAUUUCAAAUUGCACUUAGUGCAUAUCAUGUUUCCAAUUCAGACUGCUUGGUUUCACUGCUUAGUGAUCUGCUUUACCUGGCUACUGAUGCUCAAUGGGGUAAUAUCCUCAGAUAAUAAGGAACUCUUUUUUCUUCCCAGUAUUCCUGAAGUUUCUCUUUAGGAACAGUUCAAGUUGGCUUCUGGUAUUUCAACUUUGACAUUCUUUGAUACUUGUGUAGCCAAAGUCUUAAGUAUUGUUAGUCUCUAGUGCUUCAGAAACCUUAAGUCAGAAUUUUGAAAACUGAAACUUAAAACUAUUUAUUUCUGUAUCUCCUGUUUCUAAAUCUUACAGCGCUUGUUUGUUCACAUUACCAAAGCCUUACUGAAUAUAGCUGCAAAGCUAAUUUUUCUCACAAGAUGACUGCAGGAGAAGGAUUUGGAAUAAAAUUCUAGAUACUGCAAAAGUUGAUGUUGAUUGUGUGUUGGGGGUAUUAUUUGUUUUCUGUACCAGUUCAAAUAUUUGAUGAUAAUGGAUGUUUCUUAGAGGCCGAUGGAAAAUUAGAUAUCCUCAAGGUGUAUACACAAAUCAAGAUACUCAGGCUGAAGUUCAGGCUGAUUGGAUGGCCCUCUGAGAGCUUCCUAGUGCUUAAAAUCUAGGCUGCAUAUAGAAUAGACUUGGAGUCCUUACUGCAUCCUGUAGCAGGGGAGGUGAGCUCAAAACACACAACAUAAACCAUUGUGCUUGGGAAAGACCAUUGCAAGUCUCAUGCUGAUAGCGUGCACUGCUGUGGUAGCCCAUGAUGUGAUAGAGAGACAAAUCCUAUACUGCUAUAACACAAUUUGCACUCUAGUUUUUUCAUAGCUGAGAUCUUGGAUGCAGCAACUGCUGAAUUUGUUCCUCAGGCCUGUUGAGAAGAUCUAUAUUAAGUAUUUUAUUUGGAAUAAGAGAAGGUCUGAUUCUUCUGGAUUUUGCCUUUUUGGAUCAGUGACUAAGUGAAUUCUUUGUCUUCUUUCACAGUAGUUUCAGGAAACGUUGUUUUGUUCCUGGUGAUGCUCCAUCAGGGUUGCUUUGAGAAGACUCUAACUGGCACUCAGCUCAGCCUUGGCAAUUGCUCCAGAAACACUUCUGCCAAAUGCUUCGCCGCUGAGUUACUGCUGUUGGGCUCCAACUGUUUGUUCUUCUCGAGGUGGGGAACUGCUGGGGAAGGGAAGCAUUUUGGUGAAUCAUAACUCCCAUGCUCUUGCAUCCCACUAUUUUCCAGCAAAAAUGCUUUCACCCUCACUCAACACCAGAUACUACCCUUACUCGCAUAGUUUUUUCAAUCUGUCCUGUAGGCUGUGGUGUGUAAAGGUGAUCCGGUUCUGGGGCUUCUCUGGAAAGGAGAUGGUUGACCCAAAGCAAGAAAAACAUCUGUCUGUAUUAGACAUCCAGUUUACUUCAAUUUCUGUCCUCUAUUACUGAUGCCAGGUGCUAUCACCAAUACAGAGGGGGUAACAGAUGAGUUACCCUGUAACUUGGCUCGAGGAAUACCUUACAGCUUAACAAGAAGAAGCAUCAAUUAAAGCAGGUGACUUGAGACGCGUUCUCAGUUCUGCUCGCUUUCAGUGGGACUGUGCUAAUCCUUCAUCAGGUAUAUAUUUAGUACUAAGCCAGAAAUAUUUCCUUUGGGUCUUUAUCUGUGGAUUGGCAGAUGUAUGUUGUAGUAUGGCCUAUUUUAAGUGCCUUAAAAUAAGUGCUAACACUCUGAAGUAGCUUGAUUUUUUUUUUUUAAUAGUCGUGUGUUGAUGCCAAAACAGGGCCCAUUUAAUUGGUCAUCUGUACACUUAAGGACUAUAAAAAUCACAUUCAGUGAAUCACAUUGCAUUGUUUGUGCUACUGCUCUGAGUGGUUAAAAUCCUAAUUUUUUUGCUGGUGGUGUACAGUGUUUCCUGGCUCUGGAUAAAGCUGACCACCAGGAGUGAGGCUGUGCAGUGUGCAGUAAAGCAAGCAGAUUUCUUCUGUGACCCCUUGUGGAGUGAGGGGGAUGAAGGUUUUAUACUACUGAGAUAUAAAACAGCAUAUAAAAUCCAGGAUGGAAGGCAGCACGUGUGGAUGAGCACAGUCUGGAAACACCAAGCCUGAAGCUACAAAAAUGGGUCUGAACUCUUCUGCUAGAUCAGACAUGGAGUGGAUUCUGUAUCAGAACAUGGCACCAGUCUGAACCCUUAUCUUGCAUGGGAUGAAAGCUUAUCCUUAGAAAACAGGGAAUGUCAAGUCAAAUAUUCUCUCCAUAAUUAUUUGAGCUCUCUAUAUAGGGAAAAAAAAAAGCAGGUAAUGAUGUCUGUCCCAGCACAGUGUUUCAAGGACCAUGAUGAGCAUGGAAGAUUUUUGUGAUCUUAUGUUAGUGGAGCCAGGGAAGGAAGGAAGUGCUUUCCUGCUGGUGUGAAGUGGUGAGGAAAGAAAAGUUAUUGUGCUAUCAGUCAUGAAGAUGUGUCUCUAACUUUUCAACCAUAGAAAUGAGUGGUGUUCUUGCCACAGUCCUUGUUUUUUCUCAUAUCCAUGAAAACAGGGUGAUCUGCUUGCUUGCUAAUCUUCCUAGAUGUGGUAGAAGGGUUUUUCCCUGUGCUUGGAGUUGAUAUUUGGAUACCCAGGUAAAUGUAUGAGUGUUAACUGUCCAAAUCCCAUUAGGUAUGUCUUGUCCUCAAAUGGGUUCCCAAGGCUGAAUCUGCUUGCUGAAAUGAGUGUUGUUCAAAUAUGAAUUGUGGCUUUUUAGUGUGGCUGAUGACGCUGAAGGUAGGAGAGGCUGGAGAUGGCUCAUGCUUUUGGGGGGGUAAUGCCAGGCAGGAGUUUGUCACCAAGUGACUGAUACUACUGCCUCCACCCUGCUCCCCUCCCUCAAGCUAAAGCUUUCCACGGAAAUUAGCUGUGUUGGCUCUGGCUGAGGCUUCAGGUUAUUUAUGGAAAACUUUGUAACAUUUCAUGUAUUUCUGUUCUUUUUCAGGUCUUUAAUAAAACACAGCAGUGAGCCAAACCCUGUCAACUUACUCUGGUUAGCGUGGUCUUCCAGCAACUGAUGGAUAAAAAGUUGGCCUUGGCCCUCAAGAUGGUGGUUGUUUUCUUAAUGGGCAUGCCUAGUACUCUCCAAGGUGUUCAGGUUACAGAAAAGGGGUGACUCAGCUAAAUCAACACCUGAACUGCCUUACGAAAUUGUCUGUCUCUUGAUUAACCAUGUGAAGAGCAAACUAGGAAUGGAGUUCUAUGUGUGUGGUCAGCUGAGCUGAAUCUUGGCCAUGGUCAGAGAUGUCCUCUUCUCCCUUAGUUACUGAGCCAUCAACAAGUUUGGUGCUAAGCAUCAGGAGAGUUUCUUCUAGGAUUUGGGAUUAGAAAACAAAGUCUCAAGAUACUUAUUUCUUUAGGACUGAGAUGCAGAGAACUCUAGCGUGUUGUUUUUCUCAGCUGUGGAAUAACUUCAUUUCACUCACAGCUUUAUUCAGUGUCAGCUGGAGUCAGAUCCCAAGAAUUUGCACAAGUUCACACAGUAUCUGUGGCAGAGCUCAAAACAAACUCCGUGUUUCAUGAGGCACAGGCUUUGUGCUUGUGAGACAGUUAUUGAGGUGUUUUUCUCCUCCUUGAUUGAAGAGGCCAGGCUAGAGCGUCUGGUUGGAGAGAGUUUAAUUUUCUGAAAGGAUUGAGGUGAGGUUGACUCCUUCCAAUGGGAAGGAGGAUUGCCUCUGUGCUAAGGUCCAUAAAUUGCAAAGAGACGAAGCUGAACAGUAUGUACAGAUCAGAAACGUAACUUUGCUCAGGAAUUAAAGACGCAGGAAGGACUGAGUCACAGCCUUGGCAGUGGCCUGGAACAUACAGCAAGUACUUAUGUUGGGUGUGGGAUGUAACGCUACUACUCACUGCUAUUGCAGCAAAAGCUUUGAGUCUGUCCACUGGUGAUUGCUGGAAGCUUCCUGGGAGCAGGGAAGCUCAAGAAGGCCAUAGGGGGGUGAAAUGCUGUGGGGUUUGCCUAAACCAAAUCAACAGCCACUGUCCUAAAUCCCUACACCUGCUCUGUGGGCUGAUGUGCCCCACUACUCACAGGCAAAGUCACACAGUGUAGGUACUUGGAUUGAAAAGCAGGAGACAUGCUGUUAUUUAUCUGGGAAACAGAGGUACAAACUGUUUUUUUCCCUUCACAGUGUCUGGGUGGGGAAGAGGUUUCUUUUUUAAAUAGGAAUGAGCAAAGAUGAGCUGUAAUUCUUUUUCCAUGUGGAAUCUGAGGGGUUACAAAUCACACCUCAUAUUUAAAAAAAUAAAGUAUGUUAUUGGAUCUGUUGAGGACAUGACAAUUUUUUUUGUUGUUGUUUAGUUUCAACAGCUGAACUUGGAAAAAAAAAAUCUGUAAAAGAAAGAAACAUUGUUUUAAAUAAAGCCACUUCAGGCUUGCAAAAGCUUGGAACUUUUCCCUUGAAAAAUGUUAUGAUGAAAAAUGAAGAAAUUGGGAACUUCAAGCUCAUCUGGAAUAACCCUUUCCUAUGAGUACUUUCAUGAGAUCUCUGCUCCCCUUUCUUGAAGUGUUCUAAAUAACUCUUAAGCCUUCAAAAAAGGUCUCCUGCCUUCAAAGCAAAUGUUAUUUGAGCAAUAUUUUCAGUGAAGGGAGAUGUAUUGAGAUGUUUCUGUUAUGGAGCACCUGAAGCUGGAGUCAGCUGCAUGUUACUGUAUGCAAGACUGAAUGCUGAAGACUGAGUGCUUAGUUUUAAUUCCCUUUCCUAAUUUCUGUCUGUAGACAUUGCAUUUUUGCCAUGCUUUGAACAUUCUUGGAUCAUAGCUUAAUCGAACUUUACUAUCCCUGGCCUUCAGGUUCUCGAGUUACUUAGAAUCAUUGUGGGGAAAUAUUGCUGGUUGGAGCAAGCCAGAGCAUCCGAAGUUAGGUUCUGCUGUGUCUUGCCCUGGGGAGCAGUCUUUGUCUGUUAAAUGAUUGAGGAGAAGUUCUGGCUGCUUGCCCUUGAUCUCUAGAGCAGCAUGAUGUGAUAUUCACCCUGUGAAAUCCUGGCUUGCUGAAGUGGUGAAAACAUCCCUGUUGACAUUCAGGGUUUCACCUGCAGCCCCCCCACUGACUGAGCAUGACAUUUUUGUACCAGCCUGUGCUCGGUUUGUUAAAAGCAAAGCCACAAGGCAGACAUCUGGCACUGUGCCUCCUAGGUAACAUCAUGGACUGUGAUUCUUGAAAGCUGCUCUGUGCACAGGAAAGAAUUUGAUGUUGUACAAACAAGACAGUCACAUACUGUUAUGGUUAACUUACGUGCUCUGCUUCCCAGUGAGUAUGCUAUUCAGCUGAGAUGCAUCCCUCUUGGUUUGCAUGCCAGCAGUAUUCAGCUGACAUCAUGUUUGUACAAAGGUAGCAUCAAAUAGGAGCUACAUUAACCAGUUCAUUCUUUUUCUUCUAAUAUUUCACCUUGUCAUCUUCAACCCACUGUUUUGUAUAGAAUAUUUUGAUCCCUGCUGGGAUUUUAUUAUUUUAUUUUAUUUGUGUAUUAGUUGAAGACAGAGAACAAGUCUGAGAGAUGCUGGGCCUAUGGCUGUGAGGCUAAACCAGGCUGCCAUUAUCUGUAACUUUCCAUCGGGCUGCCAUUGCACAAGAGGUAGAAGCAGGAUCCAGUUUGGAGCUUCUCAUGCUAUGAGACCUCUGUGGUCAUGCAGUUGAGAUGACUAAAGAUGCCUGAUGAAUUGAUCUCAUUGAAGAAAGGCUGUCCCAGCUGCUGGGGAGGAAGCAGCUCCCUGUGCAGCAGGGGAUGCUCUCAGUACUCUGGCAAUACACUGUCUGGGUACCAGCAGUUGGAUAUAGAUUGAAACUUUGCAGGCCGCUUCUUGCACGCAGUUAGGUUAAAGUGCUAACUUGCCAAGUUAGCACUUAAUCAAGCUCAGUAAUGGGAAAGCAAAACCAGUGUGAACCAAUGAUAGGAGGAAGAAGCAGCUUUUUUACGUUGGGUUAGAUGAGAAUGGCUCUGCUGGAUCAGAUCACAGUCUUGCCUGACCUGUUAUGGUUCAGGGUUAGAGGUUUAAUGUGAGCUUAAGAAUAGAGCGCAGUGGAGAGCUAUCUGCUGAUACUGCUGAUCUCUGCUCUCUGGUGACAGCAACAGAACCCAAGGGAAUGGUGUGGAGUUGUGUUGGGAAGGUUCAGAUUGGACAUCAGGGAAAAGGUCGUUCACCUGAGGGUGGUUGGGCACUGUGACAGCCUCCUCAGGGCAGUGGUCAUGGCACUGGAAUACAAGAAGCAUCUGGACAAUGCUCUCGGGCAUUCAAUCUGAUUUUUGGGAGGUGUUGGUAGAGCCAGGAGUUGGACUCCGUGAUCCUUAUGGGUCCCUCCCAACUUGGGGGUUCUGAAGUGGGCAGGGUUUUGGACUGACAGUGAGUUUAAAAAGAAAUAUUAAGAAAAGAAUGCCACUAAACCUCUCUGGUUUGGCUGAUGGAGACAUUCCUUUUCUGUCUUCCUUGUAAAUCAGAGUGAAAACUUAUUUGCCAGGCCUCCUACUCAAAUGUUCCCAGUGAAUGCUAGCUUAGGGAGUUGAGGAUCUUGAUAUUAUUCCUCUGAAUUCUCCUAGGUGCCCAAGCCAAGAGAGCAGAAGGUACUUCGAGAGCAAUCACUGUCUCUCAAGUGUGAUAAGAUACAAGACUUCACAGGAAGAUAAAUAUCAUAUCGUUCCUCCAAAGGAAGUGCCUGAAGAAGCAGUCAGCAUCAGAUGGGUCAGUUCUUUCAGACCUACUGGUUUUGCAAUAGCUCCUGUCAUGUGUCUGUCCACCCCUGCCAUUUUGCACAGAUGUGGUGAAUUUCAGCCUGCUCUAAUUAGCCCCAGGCCUGGUGAGAAGCUGUGGAGAAGGAAUUCAGGAGUACAGGAAUGGAGACAGAUAAUUCAUGCUGUUAUUUGGUUUUGGCUAGCUAAGAAAACCUUUCACAGAGCUGGAAAAUAUGACUUGCCACUUACAAGUCUCAUUCAACAAGUGGAGGUGAAUAGCUAGGAGAUAGAAACUAGUCUGCCUUGCUGGCUUUUGGGCCCUGUAAACAGCUUGCCUUUCCUGCUGUCUUUGUCUGCCUUGCUGAAUAUUAAGGCUUUGGUGUGCUGAGAACUGAACCAACAAUGUGAGAGCAGUGACCCUCACAGCUUUACUGUGUUUUGCUGCUGGGAAGUCACAGCUCCUUGCAGAGCAUCACUGCUGUUUGUCCUUCCCCAGCAGCUUUAGCCAUUUAUCCAAAGCAAUUGGUGUUAUUUCCCAGUGAAUCAGUAAGUUGGUGAAGCCUGGCCUGUGUGUUCUAGAGCACUCUUUGUACCUUUGGCUGGAUAUGGCAGUGCCUGAAGAGCAAGGCAUUCUGUUUUGUUUGCCAUAGAAAGAGCUGAGAGCACAGUGCCCUCUUAGCUUGCUGAAGAUCUUGUUCUUGAGAACACCAGGUUCUACUUCAGAGAGCAACAGAAGUAUAAAGGUAAAAAAUGUCAGUAAAAAGGAGGAGGAUAGAGGAGCUCUUAGAGAGGAGCUGCUUUUUCCCUAAGCCCUUCCAACAGUGAAGUAGCAAUGUGAAAAAGAGAGCCCACAUUUCAUAAGGGUCCACCUGUGUCCUUGCUAGCUCAUAGUCUGAGUUACAAGGUCACCCUAGACCCCUUGUUUGUGGUAUUUAUCAUCUAUUUUGAAACAGCAGGACCAAGAGUUCAAAUCCUCUUUGCUUGCUGGUGCAGUGAAAGGACAGGUCGUGCUGUGCAAUGCUGACUAUGCAAGAGGUGAUGCGCUAUCCCAAGCUGGUGAGCUGCAGGCAGGUUGGAGCUGCUUGGCAGCUGCCUGGGGCUGGAAGAGACACUCAAAGGAGAAAGGCAUAGAGGAGUCAGUGUGGAGAAGAGGAAAGGCAAGGCCGAAGUACCUGGGGUGGAGGAGGCACAGUGUUCUCCAUUGGGAUCUAGCUCACUUUUUCAGCAACAGCCCUGCAGCUCUCAGUAUUGUUUCUGAUCUGAUACUGACUAUGAGCUCAGACAGCUGGUAGAAAAUGGAUGAUGCAGAAACAGAAUAAUUGGGGUUGGAAGAAGUAAAAGGCUUGGCUUCUUCCACAGCAAAUGUUUCCGGGAAUUGCUGUGGAAAAAAAAACUCAUCUGGAGUUUGAGUGCAGCUGGGAGCAGAGACCCUGCCAGUUCUUUCCUCCUCACUGUCACUGUAGAGGAAAGCAAGGGAAUGCAUUUAAUGGGAUUUUCACACGAUGCAAUUACAUCUUUGGUAAAGCAUGGAAGGCAGAUGCAUUACUGAUGUCUUACAUCCUAUGCAGAUUGCCCCUCAGGACAGCAUUCUGAUUCCUCUCUGCAAUACAGCUGCAGUUUUCUCUAAAUGAACCUAAAGGGAAACCAAGAACCAGCUGCUCUAAUGAAUGGGGCACCAAUAUGUUGUGGCACAGGUAGAGCUUAGAUAAGGACCUGCGUAGGAGCAAUGGGAAAUUCACCCUAAAUAUGGGGAAACACGGCAAUAAAUAAGAUUUGCUGACUUAGUGCCCCUGCUGUCUGGUGUGAUGCAUAGUACUUGAAGCUCUUCUCAGCCAGCAUGUAUGUGCUGUAUCAUCAGAGCCAUUCAUCUUCUGCAAAUACCUGCAAAACUUCCUCCUUCGUGUUGUUGAGCUGGCAUUUAUAGAGUAAUAUACUCAGAAGAGUAAGCAGAUUGCAGUGCUUCUCGUAUUGUACCCUAAGAAUUCUUGCAUCUGGUGUCAUGUGCAUCCACAUGGCUGCUUAAGAAGAGGCUGUAUUUAAGGAUCUGGAUGCAGCUGCAGCAGAAGAGGCCCCAGACCCCCACAGCCUGGCUUUGUCCUUUGCUGGAUCCAAUAAGGCAACCUCAGAGCACAGGAUUUACUUUUAUUGCUGAGGGUCUCCACCAAAGGCCCUGCUGAAGAAGGCAGCAUCUUCUCUGCAAAGAUGGAGGCAGGACUUUUGCAGAGGAGAUGUAGUCCCUUCAGGUUGAUAUUCUCUGUGCCCAAGAGACUGGGAGAACUCAACCUUGCACUUUCAGUGUAUGUGUGUUUAAAAUGUAUGCUGGGGCUUUUGACCAGUGCAGGGAGCAGGGGAUGUCUGUCUGACAUGGUGGAAGAUGGAGGCAGAGGGAUCAUAGUUUGGAGAUGGCUUCCUGCUUGCUUAUUCUUAAGAUGCUUAUUCUUAAGAUGGCUUAACUGGAGGGAUUGCUGCCUUCUGAACUGAGCAGAAGGAGAGAUGAGAGUGCGGCCUGUGUCCUCUGAGUGAUGAGAAGGAGCAAUACUUCAACAAAUGGCCUUCAGCCUUUCUUGAUUGUGUAAGAUGAGCAGGGCAGCUGUGCUGUAGUUUCCAAUAUCAACCCAUUCAACACAUACUUUGAAAGCUUUCUUAUGUUGAGUGCUCGUGGUCUGCCUAUAAAACCGUGUCACCUCGGGCAACAUUAUAGUGAGUGAAGCAGCUUGGAUGGAAUUGGUCUGUAUAACAAGAAGAGUGGUCUAGAAGGAAGUAACUGCACCAUUAAGGAUGAAGAUAAAUAGAUCACUGGGGAUUCACAGUUUUAUAUUGCAGUCAUAUGUGUUAAAAGAGAAAAAUACCAAUGGAGAAUGCACCAUUUGAUCAGUCUUUUUCCCAAACAUAGUUCUUUAAGAAGUAUUAUUUGAAAACCUCUAGAGUCAGCAAAUGAAAACAAAAAACAAACCCAAAUUGAUAUCUUUUUAUUUGCAUCUAAUUAUCUGAGUGCUUUGAGUAAAAGUAAAUCUGUAUCUGUUUUGGUCAGAAUAAACAUCUCCCACUGGAGUAAGCACAAAUGGAACAUUCUGACCCAUCCUAACAGCAGUGUCCCACUCAACUGUACAUGGUAGUUUGUAAGAAUGAUCUUUAAGAUCUCAGACUAUGAGAAACAUCUGCUUUCCUGUACAUCAUGAAACACUGCAGCAUUUGGAAAUGGAGAAUGUGUACCAUGCUAAUCUCAGCCACCAUAGAACAUGGGCUCCACAGUUUAAAUUGUGGGAUUUAAAUUACGGUGUGGAUAUAUUAUUCAGUCCCGUGUAAUGCAAUUUGGUGAUGCCACAGUGAUCUCUUUUCCUUAGUUGGAACUGCACCACGUUUGUUGUGUGUGGCCAAACAUCAAAUGCAUCUGAAUAAGCAGAAUAAUCGUUUCCAGACUAAACAGAUUUCAAAUUUGUUUAAGAUGUUGAGUGAGGUUAAUGGCUGGGAGAUGUCUCUUCUGUUGUUAAGGUACUGUGAUGUGUCCCUGUCCCUGCCAAUGCAGAUCUCUGUUUAGGUCUAAAAGUUCCAAAUCGCCUGGGCUGUACUGAAGUAUUCCUUUGAGUGCAGUAACUGUUGGUUGAGGGCAUUCUGUCAUAUUCUGAGCAUCUACAAGCAUUAAUAGUUAUGUCUCUGCAGUGGCCUACUGGAGAAAAAGGUUAUAACCAGUAUCAUUCUCUUUCAGAUGGGAAAGCUGGAUCAUGAUUAGACAAUCCUGAUCUUUUUGACUUGGAAUGACGUGGGGGAAGCUGAUGGUGGAACCAGAGCAAAGCAGAGAUUUGGCAAUAGUUGAGUUCAUUACAAGGUCCUUGAUUCUUUAGUGAAACCAUUUGGUCAAGGAGAAAGUCAUCUUAUCCUGACAACGCAUUCCUCCAUUGUUCUUUAUUUCUGUGCCUUUUGCAUUUAAUUCUCCAAAUUGCCAACUCGGGAGCGUCUGCAAUUACAGUUUUGGAGCUGGUGUGGGACUUUGCUCAUUGUGUCUCAUAGUGGUAUGUCUAGACCGAAGGUACUGGGGAUACUUAUGCUUGUAGGGUCUCAUGCAGAUGUUCUGCACUGACAGAGCUAUACAUUCUGGCCCAGAGAUAUGAUGCUUGGCAAAAGCUCUGCUCACAUUAUGGAACGGGUACAGAAGUAUGGCCUGCCCGCCUACAUACGUGCUUUUUUGCUAAUUUGACUGUUUUCUUGCUGGCUAUGUUUCUGGUGGUUCUGGAAAGAGUUUAUAAUGCAUCUGCGGUUCUUAAAGAUUGCCUGGCUUCCUGUUUCUCUAGAGCUAGGGGUGUUAUUAAAUAUAGCCUCCCACCAAAUUCCAGUGACUAAUCGCACACAGGCCUUAGUCCCAAACCAGCCGUGACUCAGAUACCAAGGAGCCUCUGUGAGUAAUGCUGCAGGAAGGGCCAACACGCUUCUUUCCUAGCCUUUCACAGGCAGUGGGAAUGCUGAAUAAGAGCAGACCAAAUAGCAAGGAUGAUCCUUCAGCCAAAAAAAAAAAAAAAAAAAAGGUACCUGCAGACUCUAGAUGUUGUCUAGUGCUAAUGCUGAGCUUUCAGAUGGCCCCAGCUGAAACACAAUGAGUGUGCUGAGCACGGAUGCCAUGAGGACUUGGGGCAGAUCAACUUUUCCCAGGGCUGUCAGCUGGUUGACAGGGCAGCAGCAGAAGUUUCCACUAUGAAAACGUCCUUGAGUUUAACCAGGCGUUUAUUAACCAGGCAUGUAAGCCCAUAGCUCCUGGCAGAGGUGAGGCCAGGGUGAUGCUGUUUGCUUAAGGGUGGUUAGAACAUCCACCUGGUGCAGUGCUUUGGAUGAGAGUUAAGGGUGAAUCCCUGAUCAUGCUCUUUCCUACCUAGAAGUAGUCUUCAUCUUAGACUGCAGUUCUUUACAACUGAGCUUUGCCUUCCCCUUCUAAAACCGCUUACCUCAAAUGGCACUGUAGUUGGCCCUUUCAACCUGAGCCUGUAGCAUUUCUGCUUGCUGCAAAUACUUUUGUAUGCUCCAAUGUUUAUUUUCCCUGAUUGUCUAUACAUAGUAAAAGACACAUAGAUGAGAAGAACCUAUUUCAAAAUCAUUUGAAUGGAAGAAUGAGAUUUUUAGGGUCUGUGGUAAUGAGCACAAGGAGUAAAAACAAUUAGCUUUCCAAAGCAACUGCAGCCGUUAUGUUUCUUCCAAUUAUUUAUGGCUUUUUUUUUUUUAGUCCUUGUUGUCAGUAACUUCAGCUAGAAAAUGCUUUCUUCUGAGAAAUGUCUUCUGGCUUUUCAGUACUCAAAGUUUUAGAAUAGAAAAUAAUAAUAACAAUAAGCCUUUAUUUUAUAUUUCAGGAUUUUCUUUAAGUAGAUACUGUCUUGAAAGCCUUUAUUUAAUGCCAUGUUCAGAGCUGAAGCUGGAUGUGUAAUUUCAUGCUAUGCUUAUGAAGUCAGAAAAGCAUCUGGAUGCAGCGUGAAAGCCUUAACCAAAAACUUUCUAUCAUCCAGGCUUAAUUUAAGUGUUAAGACUAAAUCACUUUAUGGGUUGGCAGUUGUGAAUGUUAACUGUGUAGUUCUCAGUGCCUUGCUGGUGCUCUAACAGUUGAAUUGCAGCCAUCGUGGAUAUCAUACAAAUAAACUAGGGAGCAAUCUCUGUGCAAUGAGAAUAGGUUUGUAUGUUCAGUGUGGAUUCCCAUCUUUUUACUACUCUUCAUCUUAUUGUAGUCUUCAACUUUGGAAAAACUACAGUCCGUAGAGAAUUCAAGGAAAACUUCCCCCUCUCCUUUCACAGACAUCAGAAUGGUUGGGCAGAUGCAGAAUAGCACAUCUGUGCAGUCCCAAAUGACUCAUUUGCCACUGACUCUUCAUUGUUUUAAAUUACUUCUAAAUAGUAAAAGGCAAAAAUCAAUUGAUAGUAAUAAAACCUGAGACACCACCUGUUGUGCAUUGUCCCAGGAUGAAGAGCUUUACCCUGGCUCUGCUGCUAUCUCUAUUGCUGCUAAACCACCAGUUUAUGGAAUAAUGUAUGAUGUGGUGUAUUAAUUGACUUGCCUUUAUCAUUUACCAUUCCUAAGUUUUUCUCUUCAGUAAGAUUGUCUUUUAUAAAAUUUUAUUAUGGUUUUUAAGCACUGUUUUUAAUGUCUAAUGUCUGGGUCUGAUUAUACCUGCUCUCUUAGAAUCUUGCCCAGCAUGAUGUCUCCAGUAGCAGCUAUGAGAGGAUGCCAUGAGCCAAAGCUCAGGUUGGUAUAUUUGAUGCUUUCCCCUUAUCUCCGGAUAACCAGCAAUUUUCAGUUCAGGAACCGUUAGGAUUAGAUGUGAUAUCUGUAUCACGAAGUAUCAAAUAGCUAUGCUGACAACUACAGCUUGAUCAUUGCACUGCUUGAGGUGAGAAUCAGUUUUUAUCAGUGAUAAUUGUGCCUUCUGUGUUGCUUAAGUAGGAGAGCACUAUUUUGGGAGAAACUGUUCCAUGAAGCAGCAGCACUGUUGGCCAUUUAUCUCCAGGUACACACAUACUUUUUUACUACUGUGUGUCUGCCUGAGAAUUUGUAUUAGGUAUUACAUACACUUAGGAGAGUGUAUAUUUCUGGGCUAAAUUGGAGGGGGAAAAAAAAAAAGGUUGAUUUAGGUUUCUGAUUAAUGUGAUGAUUUAAUUCUAUUUUCCCAGACAGCAGGGCCACAGCUGCUUAGUCCAUGGUGGGAAUUUACCCUCCUGUAGGUAUUUCCAAGGAAGCCCUUGAAGUGAAUUACUUGAAAUGAUGCAAUGCAAAAAGAAUGUGAUAGCUACAACAUUUAUUUCUUCCUGCUUGCAAGGCCAAAAGAAACUGGAAAAGAAAGAGAGAAUGCAAGCAAAUGUACUGGAGUGUAACCCUAGUUGGAUAGUAACUUUAUUCUUUAUGUUGGGAAGCUUUCUGCUAUCUGUGUGCUUCAGGAUUGCCAGCAAUAUCUCAUGUUCCCUGCAUGUGCAAGCCAUCUACUGCAUUUGCUCUGGUGAAUGAGAUCCUCAGUAAUCAGUACAGACAGACAGUAAUGAAAUGGGGGCAGUUUACACCAGCUCAUCUUUGUAUCUGCAGUUAGUCUCUGCUUCUGUUUCUUCUCUGAAUCAGUGCUGGAAUUGCUAGUCAGUGUAGGAGCUAAUUAGCAGCACGAAACAGUUGCUUGGAGCAGUUAUUUUCCCACUUUGCUGCUAGCAUUGGAGAAGGUUGUGUUUUCUGCAUUAUCCAAGUAGCUCACAGUUUUGGAGUGUUUCAGCUUCUUGCAAAUCAGAUAAACAAUGGUGUAACUAUCUUCAGUUGUGCUCUGCAGGGAGAAGAGAUCUUCAAACAGAAGAAAUACAUUCCUAACAAGAUGGGAAGCAACCUGGGAUGCCUUCCAAGGAUCACUGCCUGAAACUGAAGCCAGCUGAUGACUGGAGGAGAGUUCCCAAUAUCCCCAAAUCCCCCUCAUUAACCUUGGCUUGAGGGGGGAAUUGUUGGACCGUAACAAGCAACAAGGACCCGAGCUUAGAGUCUUCUGCUAACCAGUACCUGUGAAGCUGCUGUGGGAGAAUGGCUCGUAUCUGAGCUGAAAACAGGUCAGGAACUGGCAGAGCAGGGCCCAGCAGCAGUCCUGUGGAUGGCCUGGAGGAAGCAACUGAAAGCAAACCUUGGUUUUGUACUGUUUCCAAGGAUUGGCUAGGUCACCUUAUCUGUUGAUUUAUGUGUCUCUUGAAUAGUCUGCUCAUCUGUUUACAUGAGGGGACUAACUGCAUUGGGAUUAGAGCUGGAAAGUGCUUUUGGAAAAAUAGGGGAUAAGCUGGAUGAGGAUAGUGCUGUCCCCCUGGCCUGGCAGAUUUGUGCUAUUGUGUGGGUUUUUUUUCCAUUAAGAGGAGAAAUUGAUUGUAUUAUUUGGAGAGAGGUAUUCCUUGGAAAAAAAAAUCGUGAUUUACUUACAAAACAUGCACACAAUGUCCUGUUGCUAUGAUCUCGAGUGAAACAAACAGUUUCCUUGGUCAGAAAUCUCCAGCUCUUCAGCAUGCUGUGCCCCUAAAGCUCCUUCUGUCUUUCUCCUUAUACAGACAUGCCUCCCACUUCUUCCGUUAGGUACUCAGAAGACAAGUUGCCUUGCUUUCAUCUAGGUCUGCAAUUAUCUGUGGAGCUCAGAAUCGGUUGUUAUCCCCUUCUAGAGCAACUGUGUUUAUAUCAGGGGAGGACAGUGUUUUAGACCUGGAGUAAAACAUUCCUACUGUCUUUUAUUUUUGAUUCUUCAGCCUACGUACAGCGCUUUUCGCUAGAUGGUAGAUUCUUCACCCUUUGUUGGUUUUAGAAUAAUAUCAAAAGAUAGUCGUGAUGAAGGAUAAAUGGAUUAAUAAUAGUGUUUGGUAGGAUAACGUGAUGGUUCCUGCUGGCCUUAGUUUCUGAGUUUAUAGCUGGAGGACAGGCAGUGCCAAGACUGUGGAGGCAAG